AACGAACGCUGGCGGCAGGCUUAACACAUGCAAGUCGAGCGCCCCGCAAGGGGAGCGGCAGACGGGUGCGUAACGCGUGGGAAUCUACCCAUCUCUACGGAAUAACGCAUGGAAACGUGUCCUAAUACCGUAUACGCCCUUCGGGAGAAAGAUUUAUCGGUGAUGAAUGAGCCCCCGUUGGAUUAGCUAGUUGGUGGGGUAAAGGCCUACCAAGGCGACGAUCCAUAGCUGGUCUGAGAGGAUGAUCAGCCACACCGGGACUGAGACACGGCCCAGACUCCUACGGGAGGCAGGAGUGGGGAAUAUUGGACAAUGGGCGCAAGACUGAUCCAGCCAUGCCGCGGGAGUGAUGAAGGCCCUAGGGUUGUAAAGCUCUUUCACCAGUGAAGAUAAUGACGGUAACCGGAGAAGAAGCCCCGGCUAACUUCGUGCCAGCCGCCGCCGUAAAAC
rnacentral:rRNA from 1 species